rnacentral:lncRNA from 1 species
UGUUGUUACUGAUCAAAACAGUAAACUAGAAACAAAAAACCAGAAGCUAUAGUUUUUGAAGGAGGAAGAGAAGCACAGAGAAAACAGAGCACAAACUUACGUACGUCAGUUUUCUAAAGAAACUGUCAAGUACAGCCACUAAACACAAAACAAAAACUGCUCACGUACAUGAAACACAUAACUGCACACAAACGUGCUAUUAACUUCCUAGAAAAUAACAAAAACACUAAAUGCAUAACUAAAAGAAC